CGAGUUGUAAUUUGCAGAGGAUGUUUUUGGCGCGGUGCCUUCCGAGUUCCCUGGAACGGGACGCCACAGAGGGUGAGAGCCCCGUCUGGUUGGACACCAAGCCUGUGUAAAACUCCUUCAACGAGUCGAGUAGUUUGGGAAUGCUGCUCUAAAUGGGAGGUAAAUCUCUUCUAAAGCUAAAUACCGGCCAGAGACCGAUAGCGCACAAGUAGAGUGAUCGAAAGAUGAAAAGCACCUUGAAAAGGGGGUUAAACAGUACGUGAAAUUGUUGAAAGGGAAGCGUUUAUGACCAGACUUGUGCCGUGUGGCUCAUCCGGGGUUCUCCCCGGUGCACUCCACACGGUUCAGGCCAGCAUCGGUUCUCGCUGGGGGAUAAGAACGGUAGGAACGUGGCCCUCUUCGGAGGGUGUUAUAGCCUGCCGUACGAUACCCUGGCGGGGACCGAGGACCGCGCUUCGUGCUAGGAUGCUGGCGUAAUGGUCAUUAGCGACCCGUCUUGAAACACGGACCAAGGAGUCGUCCAUUAGAGCGAGCGUUUGGGUGUAAAACCCGCACGCGUAAUGAAAGUGAAAUUAGGUGAGAGCUUCGGCGCAUCAUCGACCGAUCCUGAAGUUUACGGAUGGAUUUGAGUAAGAGUUUUAACGGACGGACCCGAAAGACAGUGAACUAU
rnacentral:rRNA from 1 species